GGGGAACCUGCGGCUGGAUCACCUCCUUUCUAAGGAGUCGGACGUUCGCAAGAACGUUCGGCACCAAACCUUGCAACACCACCCUCCACGAGAGGGUGCUGCGUUCAGGGUGCCUCGCAACCUCCUCCCUAGUUUUGAAAGACUGGCGAACGUUGGGCCUAUAGCUCAGCUGGCUAGAGCGUACCCCUGAUAAGGGUAAGGUCGGUAGUUCGACUCUACCUAGGCCCACCUGACCCGGGAUCGCGGGCCGAGGGGCUGUAGCUCAGAUGGGAGAGCGCCGCCCUUGCAAGGCGGAGGCCGUCGGUUCGAUUCCGAUCAGCUCCACUCCCCCCAACCCCAACCCUGCCGGAUGCGCGGUGCGGGCAUCACGCGAUGCGCACCGCGGAUCCAGACAGGGUUCUUCCCGGGUUCGUCAUUCGGUCUUUGACAAUUGCAUACGGGUAAAGAAACCGGAUCUAAGAGAGCGCAAUUGGUAGUUCGGCGAUGAAAAUGGUCAAGCUACUAAGGGCGUAC
rnacentral:tRNA from 1 species